GCUUUCACAUCGGCAGCACGUACACUGAAAUUAGAAUGAUACAGAGAUUAGCAUGGCCCCUGUGCAAGGAUGACAUGCAGACUGGUGAAGCGUUCCAUAUUUUU